GUGGCAGUCUUUAAUGGUGCCAGCACUGAGCAGUGUGCUGCAACUUGUAUGACUCCACACAGAGUGAGGCUGGUUCCUACCGACGGGUACUGUAAAGGAAAUGGGUUUCCCUGUGCGAUGGUUCCAUACAUU